rnacentral:rRNA from 1 species
UACGGAGGGUGCAAACGUUGCUCGGAAUCAUUGGGCGUAAAGCGCACGUAGGCGGUUCCGCAAGUCGGGUGUGAAAGCCCUCGGCUUAACCGAGGAAGUGCAUUCGAAACUACGGGACUUGAAUACUGGAGAGGAUCGCGGAAUUCCCGGUGUAGAGGUGAAAUUCGUAGAUAUCGGGAGGAACACCAGUGGCGAAGGCGGCGAUCUGGACAGAUAUUGACGCUGAGGUGCGAAAGCGUGGGGAGCAAAC